rnacentral:rRNA from 1 species
CAGACCUCCGGUUUACCAGUUGUGCCGCCAGGCGCACCGCUGGGUAUCUGAGUCUGGAUUGGAUAAGCGCUGAAAGCAUCUAAGUGCGAAGCCAGCCGCAAGAUGAGAACUCCAUUGAGGGUCGUCAGAGACGAUGACGUUGAUAGGAUGCAGGUGUAAAGACAGCGAUGUCAAAGCCGAGCAUUACUAAUUGCCCGAACACUUUCUUUAG